AGUAUAAUUUUGUCGAGAGGCAUGUUAGUAAAACUCAAGGAAACUGAAACCCAACUCUCUCUUUUUCUCUCUUCACAACCGAACCCAACUCCAUAACCAAAAGCAUUGUUCGUGGAAUUCAAGAAAUUGGGAGUUUUCAUCAACAACCUAGUUAAUCUUUGAAGUUCAUCUCACAUUAAUUCAGGCAGGAUAUUAUGGCGGAAAAUCAAAGGGGACCAGGAAGGCCGCGUAAGAAUCAAAGAAGGAACCAAAGGGAGGAUCCGGGAGGGAGUCAAGGGGUCAAUGAGAAUGAAAAUCCUCCGAUACAACAAGAAGAAGAAGAACAACAACAACAACAAGUUAUGAUGCAGAUGAUGCAACAGUUUAUGCAACAGGCUCAACAAUUCAUGCAGCAGCAACAGCAAGGAGUACAUCCUCCUCCAGAAGAAGAAGAAAUUGGGAAUAGAGUCUUUCGUGAAUUUUAUAAGAUGAAACCACCGCUUUAUGAAGGGAGUUUCAAUUGUUUGGAAGCUCAUGGUUGGUUAAAGGAGAUGGAAAAAGUCUUCAAGGUGAUUCGGUGUACAGAAGAAGAGAAAGUGAUGUGUGCUUCUCGUAUGCUUAACGGCGCAGCAAAAACCUGGUGGAAAGGAGCUCUAGCAUACAUGACUGCUUCUCACAUUCCAGUGGAUUGGGAGCACUUUCAGGCGGAAUUUCUUAAGAAGUAUUCUCUAGAUAGGUUUAGGUUCCAGAAAGAGCAGGAGUUUUUCCAAAUUAAGCAGGGGACUAUGUCGGUAUCAGAAUUUAUUGCAAAGUUCGAAGAGAUGGCCCAGUUCUCCCGUCAUUCCGUGUAUUCCCCAGAUGAGGGCAUUGAGGGGUGGAUGAUUAAUCGAUUCAUGUUUGGUCUGAAAGACGAUAUUGGCCACAUUGUGUCUCUGCAGAGUCACAACAGUUUUGCAGAACUAGUACAACAAUGUUAUAUUGCGGAAGCAAGUCUAAAUAAGAUUCAUAACGAAAGGGAGCAAGCAUGGUAGAAAUAGAAAGUUUCAGGUAAGCAGCCAAACUACAUGAAGAAGGAGUAGCCCUUAUUGAGAAAUAAAGGAGCGAAUGAAGCAGAAACCACAAUGUCAGCUAGAGUGUACGGUUUGGAUGCUAAGAAGUCGAAGGGGAACAAUGAUCUCAUUACCGACAACUAUAGAAGAAAGUAAGGGGUCAGAUGCUCCACUAAUAUCAGCACCUUUACUUAUUACAUUGAGUAGAUAAUCGACAGCUCUCUCAGUAAUAAACUCGCCGGGGAUCAAUACUGCCUGGAGGGAAUGGACAUAUAAGCUCCCCCGAAACCUUACCAAUGCUCUCCUUCACCGUUACUUUUUUUUACUUGCAAAAAAUGCAUCUCUAGGGGUCAAACUCAUGAUUAUAUCAUCAAAGGGUGCAUGAUCAGUAAACAACCUGUCUUUAGGUUGCUGCACAGUAGAACUUGUUGCAGCUAAAUACUUCACUCCCGAUAUAAGCCUUUGGACAUGGUCUCUACAAGUUCCAAGGUUAAGUGCAUAAGUGAUAGAUUUAUUCCCAACAAGUUCGCGGACAAUUCCGAAAUCCCUGCAUAAGACUUCAUUUGCUUUGUAACCUGAAAUACCAAGCUCCCAAAAACCUAUAGUAAGCCUCAAUGGAUCAAAUGCAGGAAAGUUCGGAAAGCUGGAAUUAUCAAGCACUGAGAUUCCAGGGAUUUGCUUUAGCAAGCACUUUGCUAUAUUGGCUAAUGCAAUCGCUUGGUCGAAUAAAAUAUCAGGGCUUUCACUAAGUUGAGCUCUAGAAGCAUCUAGGGAUGCCAAAAGCAGGUAACUAGGACUUGUGCUUUGGAGAGUGUGGAGACACCUAGAUAUUUUUUCCUUGUCUACAAUGUCACCUGACAUGUGCAGCAUAGAUGAUUGAGUGAAAGAGCAAAGAACCUUGUGAGUAGACUGUACAAUGAGAUCAGCCCCUUGCUGAAGGGCUGAGCUAGGCAGUUUAGAAUGAAAUCCUAGGUGUGCACCAUGAGCUUCAUCAACGAUCAAAGGAAUUUUCCGAGAAUGACACAACUCAGAAAUAUCGCUCAAGUUACUGCAAACACCAUGAUAAGUAGGUGAAGUGAUGAAAACUGCUGCAGCUUUUUUCCCUUCAAAUUCUAGUUCCUGGAUAGCGUUCAAUACCUGCAACACCAGCCACAGUAAAAAAAAAAAAA